rnacentral:rRNA from 1 species
AAGUCCCGUAACGAGCGCAACCCUUAUCGUUAGUUGCUAACGCGUUAUGGCGAGCACUCUAGCGAAACCGCCCCGGACAACGGGGAGGAAGGUGGGGAUGACGUCAAGUCCUCAUGGCCUUUAUGUCCAGGGCUACACACGUGCUACAAUGGUCGGUACAAACCGUCGCAAACCCGCGAGGGGGAGCUAAUCGGAAAAAGCCGACCUCAGUUCGGAUUGGAGUCUGCAACCCGACUCCAUGAAGCUGGAAUCGCUAGUAAUCGCGGAUCAGCAUGCCGCGGUGAAUACGUUCCCGGGCCUUGUACACACCGCCCGU